AUUUUUGUAAAGUUUGAGUAACUUUAGCUUUGCAAAAGCUGAGGAGAACUAGUAAAGUUCCAAACUAU
rnacentral:tRNA from 1 species